rnacentral:misc_RNA from 1 species
UUCAACCAUCAAGCCUCAGGCUUGUGUUGGGGCCCUGCGGCUGCCGCAGUCUCCUAAAAGCAGUGGCGGACUCGCUGUCAUACCGAGCGCAGUAAUACAUCUCGCUCUUGGCGUGUCAGCGGGCACCGGCCGUUAAAUACUUCACUAA